AAAGGGUGCGUAGGCGGCCUGUUAAGUCAGGGGUGAAAGACGGUAGCUCAACUAUCGCAGUGCCCUUGAUACUGAUGGGCUUGAAUUGACUAGAGGUAGGCGGAAUGUGACAAGUAGCGGUGAAAUGCAUAGAUAUGUCACAGAACACCGAUUGCGAAGGCAGCUUACUAUGGUCUUAUUGACGCUGAGGCAUGAAAGCGUGGGGAUCAAACAGGAUUAGAUACCCUUGU
rnacentral:rRNA from 1 species